GACGAACCGUACGAACGUUAUUCGGAAUCACUGGGCUUAAAGGGUGCGUAGGCGGGCAGGUAAGUCCGUGGUGAAAUCUCUGAGCUUAACUCAGAAACUGCCAUGGAUACUAUUUGUCUUGAAUAUUGUGGAGGUAAGCGGAAUAUGUCAUGUAGCGGUGAAAUGCUUAGAUAUGACAUAGAACACCAAUUGCGAAGGCAGCUUACUACACAGUUAUUGACGCUGAGGCACGAAAGCGUGGGGAUCAAACAGG
rnacentral:rRNA from 1 species